AUGAGGUAUCACAAUCACUGCAAGACCAAGAGACAACCAGUGUUGAAAUUGAACCCCAUAGUGAACCUCAAACAGACGAAGGAGUCACCAGAACAGGAAGUUUGUGCACAAGAGAUUUCCAGUGCCACGACAUUGCAGAUCACCAUCACGAGUACAAAGGAGAAAACCCAAGACAUCCAAGCCCAUGAGGAACUAGAGACUGUUAUACCUGGCAAACAAACAGUCGAUGCAGGCACAAAUAACCCAGUCAUCAACACAGAGGAAACAAACAAGUACAUUGAUCUCGAAGAUCAAGAAGCAGCGCAACCAAAGGAAACUGGAAAACACACAGAACUUCAAACAACAACAUCUGAAGAGGAAGAGAAAGCAAGCGAAAGAACUCGCAUAAACAUUGAACAAGAAAAAUUAGAGGACAAAACGAGACAAGGAGAAGCCAUAGUUCCAGCAGGAGACAGUCUUGCAAAUCCAGAGAAAGAGGCACAAGAAGCUCAGGAGAGCACCAACAAUCAAGACCAUCAAACACAACCAGAGGAGCCCAAUGAACAACCCGAACAUGUUCAUCAAACGAUAGACAAUAAUGCCACUGAAGACCAAGCCACCAAAAAUUCAAUCACCAAACAACAGCUGCCAGAGUCAGCGCCAGCGUCAACAAUUGAAAAGAGAGAGGAGACAGAUGAGGAAAAGGAGGCCACAAAAGAAGGGCAAAAUGUUCUUCAAACGACAGACAUCAACGUCAAAUAA
rnacentral:rRNA from 1 species